GACGAACGCUGGCGGCGUGCCUAAUACAUGCAAGUCGAGCGCUGAAGGUUGGUCCUUGUACCAACUGGAUGAGCAGCGAACGGGUGAGUAACGCGUGGGGAAUCUGCCUUUGAGCGGGGGACAACAUUUGGAAACGAAUGCUAAUACCGCAUAAAAACUUUAAACACAAGUUUUAAGUUUGAAAGAUGCAAUUGCAUCACUCAAAGAUGAUCCCGCGUUGGAUUAGCUAGGUGGGGAGGUAAAGGCCCACCAAGGGGAAGAUACAUAGCCGGCCUGGGAGGGUGGACCGCCACAAUGGGACUGGGACACGGCCCAAGCUCCUACGGGGAGCAGCAGGAGGGGAACUUUGGCCAUGGAGGGAAGUCUGAACGAACAACGGCGGGUGGGGGGAGGAGGUUCUCGGGUCGUAAAACUCUGUUUGUAGGGGAGAACGUUAGUGAGAGUGGAAAGCUCAUCAAGUGACGGUAACUACCCAGAAAGCGACGGCUAACUACGUG
rnacentral:rRNA from 1 species